GACGAACGCUGGCGGCGUGCUUAACACAUGCAAGUCGAACGGAAAGGCCUCUUUCGGGGGGUACUCGAGUGGCGAACGGGUGAGUAACACGUGAGUAACCUGCCCUUGACUUUGGGAUAACUUCAGGAAACUGGGGCUAAUACCGGAUAGGAGCUCCUGCUGCAUGGUGGGGGUUGGAAAGUUUCGGCGGUUGGGGAUGGACUCGCGGCUUAUCAGCUUGUUGGUGGGGUAGUGUCUUACCAAGGCUUUGACGGGUAGCCGGCCUGAGAGGGUGACCGGCCACAUUGGGACUGAGAUACGGCCCAGACUCCUACGGGAGGCAGCAGUGGGGAAUAUUGCACAAUGGGUGGAAGCCUGAUGCAGCAACGCCGUGUGCGGGAUGACGGCCUUCGGGUUGUAAACCGCUUUCGCUCAUGACGAAGCUUUGUGUGACGGUAGUGGGUAAAGAAGCACCGGCUAACUACGUG
rnacentral:rRNA from 1 species